AUGUUUGAACCUCAUCAUGGGAAGAAAGACAGUGACAGUGAGAUGUCCGGCAUUUCAGAUAUGCUAAGCCAGAGCAGUUUGGAAAGCCCGAAAAAGACUGACUCUCCAGAGAUGGAAGUAGCACAAGUUCAAACGCCUCAAGAUACUGAAAUCAAGGUAGAAAUUGAAGCCGUUUCACAAGAUUUCAAUGUCGAGGAAUCUGAGCCAAUGAUUGAUGCAAGUGCCAUCUCACCACUGACAUCCUCAUCUGUCGGGUCACCAGACUCGCCACGCGAAAAAAUGUUGUUCAGUGAGAAAAUGUUCGACGAGACGUGUGCAUCUUAUAUCAGCAUAAAGAGCGCCAAUGAAGGCCAGUUUGAUGAUGAGUCUUCAGACAGUGAUGGGUAUGAACGCGUAAGGAUUACCUAUAGCCCAAAAGAGCAUUUUGGACAAAAAGAUAGCAAUGGUCUAGCCGAUGGCAAAAAGUCUAAUAGUGAUUUAGAGACAAGUUCAAUAGAGAGCCGCAUUGGUGGAAAAAAGGACAAUGGUAGAGAAGGUAGUCCAGGUGUGCAACUCUCUCAAGAAGACGAUGAUGAUUUGAGCCUCCCGAAAACGCCUACCAUUCACUACGACAAUGCAGAGUUUGAGUCUGUUAACGAACUUCAAAAAAGCAUUAAGAAAACUCAAGAAAAGUCUGUAGAAGAAAGCUCCCUCACAUCAUCUGAUGACUGUCUUUCAAAAUCUGGAGUAGCCAAGGACAGUGCAGAAAAUUCAAAUCUGUGCUUCAAGCAGACGGAGGAGUCCAAUCUGAGUAUCGACACAGAGAGCAGCUUGUUGGGGAAAAAGAACUUGACCGAACAAAAAAAGCGAGAGACACAGAAAUUGUACGAACGCAACUCAAAAGAGAGUGAGAGAAAACACAGUCAUAGAUCAUCACACUCUUCGCGCAAAGACAGUGCAACAAAAGAACGUCACAGCUCUAAGUCGAGUAGAGAUGUGUCUAAAGAAAGCAAAGAAAAGUCAUCGAAAGAUGGGAAAGACUCGAGCCACAAAUCCAAAGAUUAUAAGUCAUCAAAAGACUCCAAAGAUGCGAAGGUUCAGAAGGACAAAGAAGCAAAACCCUCUAAAGAUGACUCUUCCAAAGACAAACAUGAGCACUCAUCUAAAGCACAUCAUUCAUCUAAAGAAAGCCACGAGUCGAAAGAUUCAAAGCACCAUUCACGAGACAGCAAACACAGCUCCAAGCACCGGUCCAGUGAUAGAUCAUCCAAAGAUCACCAUCGCAGUUCCUCUAAAGAUAGUCAUGACAAACACAAGCCUUCGAAAGAAGUAGACAAGAAGUCUAAAGAUGAAGGCAAGGAGAAAAAUUCUGGAGACAAAACCAAAGAGGAAAAAAAGACUGAUAAAAACCACAAAGAUCGCAAAAACAAAGAUCAGUGUUCAUCCAGUACAAGUAGUCGUGACAGAGACAGCCGUCGUUCAUCAGACCGAGAUAAUGACGGCUCCAGCAGUACACAUCGCAACCACAAAUCAUCCCAGAUCCACAGUACAUCCGAAACAUCUCGCAAAGAAGAUCCUCCUAAAAAAUCCAGUCACAAGCAUUCAAGCAGUUCGUCUAAAUCAUCAGAUAGCAGUGAUUCCACCAAAGCUUGCAUCGUCCAUCCGGGUUUGGAACAUCCCCUCCCAGAUGUCAACCUGCAGGACCCUCCGGCUGCGGCGGAUGUCUGGAGCCAAAGUCCGGUCACAAAAUCUGAAUUGCAGCAAUCCUAUCGGACAAACCAUCCAGGAAACACACUCAUACUGUUUGACAAGACACCUAAGGUCAUUUUGGAGCGUUGCUCAUUAGAUGGACUUCGAAGCCCACCUAUGAAUGUCUCUGGUAGUCAUGCCAGUAUUAUUUCACUCGCUAGCUCAUUCAGCAGAAUCAAAGAGGAUACAGAUUCAUUGCGUGUGAAAAAGCCUAGAAAUGCUGCUAAUUUUCUUGAGGCCAAAAAAAUGUUAGAGCAGCAUAUACUAGAGAAACAGAUGUUGUCAGAGCAAUCCAAACGCGACGAGUGCCUUGAAAAUAAACCGUUGCAGGAAUCUGUCGAAAGUAGUUCAGUAGCGAGCAAGCAGAUUACGGCUGAUGAACCUGCUUGCUCUGAGCCACCAAGUCCUAAAAAACGCAAGAUAGCUGCAAACAUAUUCCAGUCGCUAGACAAACCUAAUGAACAGAAAAUCUUUGACUUAUCGGAAGAAAGCAAUGAAAUUGUUUCCAGCGCGGAGUAUGUAGCCGAUUUUGACCGAAAAAAUUCUGGAUCUGAUGGACCAACAGGUGAUGUCUCUUUGGUUAACAAACCUGCAGGAGAAACCAGUAAAUUUAAUGAGACGGUUAAAAGAAAGGGAAGUGACACAAUUAAUCCUGCAAUGAACCGUUUCGAAACUAAAUUAGAAGUUUUGACCACAACUGGAAAUAGUGGAUCCACAGUGGAGACAGAAAGAGAUGAAAGUACACAACAAAUGAGGAGCUGUAAAAAUUCAAUAAAGACUGAAAGCUACCCAACUGACCCUGAAAAGAACCUUGAGAAAAACUUAGAUCAAACAAAUAGUGAGCCAAAUGCUGUUGAAGUACAAACUAAUGAAAGUCAGAGCAAAGUUGAGCACACUCAGCUCAGCAAGGAAGUAAAUAUAGUCAAAGUGCAGGAGAAAUGGACGUGGGGCAAAAUAUUGCACAGCCAACAGAAAUUGAAACAAAAAUUUUCACGAGUCCUGAUGAUAAAGAUAUCGCACAAAGUAGCUCAACACCAGAAAACCAUGAAUUUACAGCAAAGACUGCUAGUUCUAAAAACGCAGAUGAAUCAGAAGUAA
rnacentral:lncRNA from 1 species